AUCAGUUACAAUCUACUUGAUCGUAUAUUCAAAGAAUUAAUCGGGUAACCCUAGUAAUUCUAGAGCUAAUACGCGCAAAAAGCUCCGACCUCUUCUUUUAGGGGAAAGAGUGUAUUUAUUAGGUAACUUAAAACCAAUCAGCCCAAAAGGCUGUUUUGUUGAUGAUUCAUAAUAACUUUGCAAAUCGCGGGCUAAUGUCUGCGAUGAUACAAACGAGUUUCUGACCUAUCAACUUUAGAUGGCAGGAUAGGGGCUUGCCAUGGUGACAACGGGUGACGGGGAAUUAGGGUUCGAUUCCGGAGAGGGAGCCUGAGAAACGGCUACCACUUCCAAGGAAGGCAGCAGGCGCGCAAAUUACCCAAUACUGAUUCGGUGAGGUAGUGACAAGAAAUACCAAUAUAGGACCCAACGGGUACUAUGUUUGGAAUGAGUACAAUUUAAAAACCUUAACGAGGAACAAUUGGAGGGCAAGUCUGGUGCCAGCAGCCGCGGUAAUUCCAGCUCCAAUAGUGUAUAUUAAAGUUGCUGCGGUUAAAAAGCUCGUAGUUGGAUUUCGGAGUUGUUAUCUGAACCUUCUCGCCCUUAAAAAGUGGGGGGGCUAAGGUAGCAGUAGUUUUCAUCAUAGUCCACCAGGAUACUCUCUUGGUGUGUACUGGGUGUUAACCUCCUUUUUUUCUGGUACUUGCUAUCCAGCAAUGGGUAGUUUUGUCCAGAUAGUUUACUUUGAAAAAAUUAGAGUGUUCAAAGCAGGCAUAAUUGGCAUCAUGAAUACAUUAGCAUGGGAUAAUAGAAUAUGACAUUGGUCUUAUUUUGUUGGUUUCUAAGGCCAAAGUAAUGAUUGAUAGGGAUAGUUGGGGCCGCUCGUAUUGAGUUGUCAGAGGUGAAAUUCUAGGAUUUACUCAAGACGAACUAAUGCGAAAGCAUUCGGCAAGGAUGUUUUCAUUAAUCAAGAACGAAAGUUGGGGGAUCGAAGAUGAUCAGAUACCGUCGUAGUCUCAACCAUAAACUAUGUCAACCGAGGAUCCGGUAGCGUUACAUGGAUGACCUUCCGGGCACUCUGUGAGAAAUCAUAAGUAUUUGGAUUUCGGGGGGAGUAUGGUCGCAAGGCUGAAACUUAAAGGGAUUGACGGAAGGGCACCACCAGGAGUGGAAUCUGCGGCUUAAUUUGACCCAACACGGGGAAACUUACCAGGUCCGGACACAGCGAGGAUUGAUAGAUUGAGAGCUCUUUCUUGGUUCUGUGGGUGGUGGUGCAUGGCCGUUUUUAGUUGGUGGAGUAAUUUGUCUGGUUAAUUCCGUUAACGAACGAGACCUUAACCUAUUAAAUAGUCGUGGGAACCCAGGUCUUUCAUCCUCUUUCUCAGCAAUGGGGGGG
rnacentral:rRNA from 1 species